rnacentral:rRNA from 1 species
CCUACGGGAGGCAGCAGUGAGGAAUAUUGGUCAAUGGGCGGAAGCCUGAACCAGCCAAGUAGCGUGCAGGAUGACGGCCCUACGGGUUGUAAACUGCUUGUAUACGGGAAUAACGCGCCGUACGUGUAGGGCUUUGCAUGUACCGUAUGAAUAAGGACCGGCUAAUUCCGUGCCAGCAGCCGCGGUAAUACGGAAGGACCGGGCGUUAUCCGGAUUGAUUGGGUUUAAAGGGAGCGCAGGCAGCAUGGCAAGCGUGCUGGGAAAUGUCCGGGCUCAACCCGGGCCUUGCAGCGCGACCUGGCGUGCUUUAGUCCGCUGCACGCAGGCGGAAUUCUUCGUGUAGCGGU